rnacentral:rRNA from 1 species
CUUGGUCAUUUAGAGGAAGUAAAAGUCGUAACAAGGUUUCCGUAGGUGAACCUGCGGAAGGAUCAUUAACGAGUUUUGACAUGGGUUGUAGCUGGCCUUCCGAGGCAUGUGCACGCCCUGCUCAUCCACUCUACACCUGUGCACUUACUGUGGUUUCAGGUGCGUCGCCUCGCGGCGGCGUCACUCGGCCCACGUUUUCUUUACAAACUAUUGAAGUAACAGAAUGUUUAUUGAUGUAACGCAUCUAUAAUACAACUUUCAGCAACGGAUCUCUUGGCUCUCGCAUCGAUGAAGAACGCAGCGAAAUGCGAUAAGUAAUGUGAAUUGCAGAAUUCAGUGAAUCAUCGAAUCUUUGAACGCACCUUGCGCUCCUUGGUAUUCCGAGGAGCAUGCCUGUUUGAGUGUCAUGAAAUUCUCAACCUAUAAACCUUUGCGGGUUUGUAGCGUUGGAUGUUGGAGGCUUUUGCUGGCCCAGUCAGCUCCUCUUAAAUGCAUUAGCUUGGUUCCUUGUGGAUCGGCUGUCGGUGUGAUAAUGUCUACGCCGCACCCGUGAAGCGAUUGGAGAGCUUCUAAUGGUCUCGUCAGAGACAGCUUAUAUGAACUCUGACCUCAAAUCAGGGUAGGACUACCCGCUGAACUUAAGCAUAUCAAAAGGCGGAGGAA